AACUAAUUCCAACACCACCUAAGAACCCUUAAACAAUAUUGAGUAAUUCUAUACAACUAUAGAAGAUUUUAUGUUAAAACUAGUAACAAGAAGAAGAACUUCUCUUACAAUGCAAAUGUAAAUCAGAUAGGACGCCCCGCUGAUAAUUAACACCUAUGAAUAAAAAGUAGUAACCUAACAAGAAAACCCUACUACAAACCAUACGUUAACCUAACACCAGAGCAUUUCAAGAAAGAUUAAAAGAAAAAGAAGGAACUCGGCAAAUAUUAACCUCGCCUGUUUACCAAAAACAUCGCCUCUUGAACCAUUAUAAGAGGUCCAGCCUGCCCAGUGACCCCGUUCAACGGCCGCGGUAUCCUAACCGUGCGAAGGUAGCGUAAUCACUUGUUCUUUAAAUAAGGACUAGUAUGAACGGCACCACGAAGGUUACACUGUCUCCUCUUUCUAAUCAGUUAAACUAAUCUCCCCGUGAAGAAGCGGGGAUAAACACAUAAGACGAGAAGACCCUAUGGAGCUUCAAACUAUAAGGCACUUGCCCUAACACAACUAAAUUUCAGAAAACCACUACUACCCAAGCAAGAUGACCCCUUAGUUUUAGGUUGGGGUGACCGCGGAGCAAAAAAAAACCUCCACAUUGAAAGGAGCCCACUCCUUAGCCAAGAGCCACACCUCUACGCACCAACAAAAUGACAUUAAUUGACCCAAUAUUUUGAUCAACGAACCAAGUUACCCUAGGGAUAACAGCGCAAUCCACUUCGAGAGCCCCUAUCGACAAGUGGGUUUACGACCUCGAUGUUGGAUCAGGGUAUCCCGGUGGUGCAGCCGCUACCAAAGGUUCGUUU
rnacentral:rRNA from 1 species